UACGUAGGUGGCAAGCGUUGUCCGGAAUUAUUGGGCGUAAAGCGCGCGCAGGCGGUCUUUUAAGUCUGAUGUGAAAGCCCACGGCUCAACCGUGGAGGGUCAUUGGAAACUGGGGGACUUGAGUGCAGAAGAGGAAAGCGGAAUUUCACGUGUAGCGGUGAAAUGCGUAGAGAUGUGGAGGAACACCAGUGGCGAAGGCGGCUUUCUGGUCUGUAACUGACGCUGAGGCGCGAAAGCGUGGGGAGCAAACAGG
rnacentral:rRNA from 1 species